AGUGAACGCUGGCGGUAGGCCUAACACAUGCAAGUCGAGCGGAAGGACGGUAAGAGCUUGUUUUUACGGGUAGCGGGUGGCGGAUGGGUGAGGAGUGCAUAGCCAUCUUAUUUUUCGUGGAGGAUUACGGAGGGAAAGUUAUGAUACUACCUCAUAUGAUCUACGGGUUUAUGCAGAAGUUCUUCACGGUUUGCGCGAUUGAUUUAGCCGAUGUCGCAUUAGCUAGUUGGAGUGGUAAGGGCCCACCAAGGCAACGAUACGUAGCUGGUCUGAGAGGAUGAUCAGCCACACUGGAACUGAGACACGGUCCAGACUCCUACGGGAGGCAGCAGUAGGGAAUAUUGGGCAAUGGGCGAAAGCCUGAUCCAGCCAUACCGCGUGGGUGAAGAAGGCCUUCGGGUUGUAAAGCCCUGUUGUUGGGAAAGAAAAGCUGCAGAUUAAUACGCCGCUGUUCUGACGGUACCCAAAGAAAAAGCACCGGCUAACUUCGUG
rnacentral:rRNA from 1 species